rnacentral:rRNA from 1 species
CCGUAGGUGAACCUGCGGAAGGAUCAUUACAGAAAGUAAACGCGGAUCAGACCGCGAACUUCUAAACCUUUGACGAUUGACUCAUGUUGCCUCGGCGGGUUCUCCCGCCAGAGGAUACGUCAAAACUCCUGUUUUAACGGUGUUGUCUGAGCUACAAGCAACGAAUCAAAACUUUCAACANCGGAUCUCUUGGUUCUGGCAUCGAUGAAGAACGCAGCGAAAUGCGAUAAGUAGUGUGAAUUGCAGAAUUCAGUGAAUCAUCGAAUCUUUGAACGCACAUUGCGCCCCUUGGUACCCUGAGGGGCAUGCCUGUUCGAGCGUCAUUUCACCACUCAAGCCUGGCUUGGUGUUGGGCGACGUCCCCUUUGGGGACGCGCCUCGAAACGCUCGGCGGCGUGGCACCGGCUUUAAGCGUAGCAGAAUCUUUCGCUUUGAAAGUCGGGGCCCCGUCUGCCGGAAGACCUACUCGCAAGGUUGACCUC